GAUGAACGCUAGCGGCAGGCUUAAUACAUGCAAGUCGUGGGGCAGCAUGGGGUAGCAAUACCCUGAUGGCGACCGGCAAACGGGUGCGGAACACGUACGCAACCUUCCUUUAACUGGAGAAUAGCCCCUCGAAAGAGGGAUUAAUACUCCGUAAUAUCCCGAUAUGGCAUCAUGACGGGAUUAUAGCUCCGGCGGUUAGAGAUGGGCGUGCGCCUGAUUAGGUAGNGGCGGGGUAAUGGCCCACCAAGCCUUCGAUCAGUAACUGGUGUGAGAGCACGACCAGUCACACGGGCACUGAGACACGGGCCCGACUCCUACGGGAGGCAGCAGUAAGGAAUAUUGGUCAAUGGACGGAAGUCUGAACCAGCCAUGCCGCGUGAAGAAUGAAGGCCCCUCUGGGGUUGUAAAACUUUCUUUUAUCUGGGGAACGAAAAAAGGGCUUUAUAGCUCACUUGACGGUACCAGAGGAAUAAGCACCGGCUAACUCCGUGCCAGCCGCCG
rnacentral:rRNA from 1 species